rnacentral:tRNA from 1 species
AAGAAAUUAGUUAAAUUAUAACAUUAGUAUGUCAUACUAUAAUUAUUAGAAAAUUCCAUCUAAUAUUUCUUU